rnacentral:rRNA from 1 species
GAUGAACGCUAGCGGCAGGCCUAACACAUGCAAGUCGAGGGGCAGCACGAAUUAGCUUGCUAAUUUGGUGGCGACCGGCGCACGGGUGCGUAACGCGUAUGCAACCUACCCUAUUCUGAGGGAUAUCCCGGAGAAAUUCGGACUAACACCUCAUGGUACUAUUGAUUCGCAUGUUUUGAUAGUUAAAGGUUACGGAAUAGGAUGGGCAUGCGUCCCAUUAGCUAGUUGGUAAGGUAACGGCUUACCAAGGCUACGAUGGGUAGGGGGCCUGAGAGGGUGAUCCCCCACACUGGUACUGAGACACGGACCAG